UACGUAGGUGGCAAGCGUUAUCCGGAAUUAUUGGGCGUAAAGAGCGCGCAGGUGGUUAAUUAAGUCUGAUGUGAAAGCCCACGGCUUAACCGUGGAGGGUCAUUGGAAACUGGUUGACUUGAGUGCAGAAGAGGGAAGUGGAAUUCCUAGUGUAGCGGUGAAAUGCGUAGAGAUUAGGAAGAACACCAGUGGCGAAGGCGAUUCUCUGGACUGUAACUGACGCUGAGGCUCGAAAGCGUGGGGAGCAAACAGG
rnacentral:rRNA from 1 species